rnacentral:tRNA from 1 species
AACUUAGUAAGAAGAGCGCCACCUUGACAGGGUGGAGGUCGUGAGUUCGAGCCUCUCCGGGG